rnacentral:rRNA from 1 species
AAAUCUGGGGUCUUCGACCUCCGAGUUGUAAUUUGAAGAAAGUAUCUUUGGAAAUGGCCUUUUCCUAAGUUCCUUGGAACAGGACUUCAUAGAGGGUGAGAAUCCCGUAUGGAGAGGUGACUAUUUCUAUGUAAAGUGCUUUCGACGAGUCGAGUUGUUUGGGAAUGCAGCUCUAAGUGGGUGGUAAAUUCCAUCUAAAGCUAAAUAUUGGCGAGAGACCGAUAGCGAACAAGUACAGUGAUGGAAAGAUGAAAAGAACUUUGAAAAGAGAGUGAAAAAGUACGUGAAAUUGUUAAAAGGGAAGGGCUUCAGAUCAGACUUGAUGUUUUGUGAUCCAUCAUCCUUUUUGGUUGGUGCACGCACUUUUCAUUGGGCCAACAUCGAUUUGAGUGGUAGGAUAAUGCCAUUGGAAUGUAGCUUCAUUCGUGAAGUGUUAUAGACUUUGGUGAUACUGCCCAUUCGGAUCGAGGACUGCGUCUUUUGACUAGGAUGUUGGCGUAAUGAUCUGAAGCCGCCCGUCUUGA